UCGGACCCCCUCGACUACCUCAGCGGGGCAAGCGGCUGGUCCUCCGGAGUUGGAGUUCUCCUGAUCCGUUCAGAGGUUCGAGCCUUGGAUUCAUUUAUGUGUCUCCAGAAAUAUUAUCCUCGUGGUCUCAGAUUAAUAAGGCGAGGAGAUAGUAGGCUGCCAGCAAGAAGCGGCGACGGGAGUGAAUGAGUGAAACUAAUGUGUUUCUCCUUUUUCUCUUACCUGUUCAUGUUAUAAUCUUUAUACUGGAUCUUCGUGUAGGAAGUUUUGGAUAACAAAGUCAGCUACAUAGAGGAUGCCAAUGUUGUCCUAACUCAUCAGGAGACUUCUCUUAAAGAAAGAUUAAGUGGGCUGCAGGAAACCAACAAAGCACCGCUGGAGCAGGAUGGCAAGAGUUGCGAAGAAAAACAUGUUGCCUACAGGGAUUGCAGCUAUGUUGUGGGGUAUUUCCAAAAUGAAUGGCCUCAUGAACCAGAACCAGUUGGGAUUAUUCUCUCUAAAAUGCAUGAGAGCUGCUUCGGUGGGGUUGCAAGACUUCUUCAACAUCGGGGCUGCAAAAAAGGGAUGGGCGCCAUGGAUCCCAAGCCUCCAACUCUAGAGGAUGUGGAGAAGGAUAGAACAGUUCAAGGCGGGCCAAGAGGUUUCAGUUUAUUUGAGCUGCUUUUGUUUUCUGCAAACUGCAACGUGUUGUUGCAAAAAGUAUUUUUCUUGUCGGUCUGUUGCGCUCUCUUUGGUCUGUUUGUGGCUAUCAGUAGAUUUUAAGCUCGGAGGUAGUCGCCGAGUCAUUUCAAGU